UAAUUAUCGACUUAUUUUUAUUUAUUGUUUUUAUUUUUUAUUAAAAUUAAUUUUUUUGUUAGUAUAUUUUAUUGAAAUUAUUAAUUUAAUUAUAGUUUAAAGUACUGUGAAGGGAUUUCUUUAAUUAAUAAAAAGUAGUUUUAUUUUAAUGUACCUUUUGUAUCAGGGUUAAUUAAAUUAAAUUAUAUAUAUACUUUUCCCGAAAGAAGGGGAGUUAGGAUUUAAAUGGUAGUUCUUUGUUUCAAAAAAGUUUUUAAUUAAAUCCUAGUAAUGAAAUGUUAUUCGUUCCUUUAUAUCUGGUUUCCUCAGAAUUUAAUUUAAUUAAGGUCUAAUUAUUAAGGUUGAAUUUUAUUACUUUUUAGGCUAAGGGCCCUGGGGAUAAGCUCCGGGUCUAAUACUAAAAUAUUUUUAUUUAGAUUUAGAUUUAAUAGGCUUAGAAUCAGCCAUUUUUAUUUCGUUAUAGGAAGUUCUUGUUUAUUUUUUAUUUGUUUAUUUGUUUAGUUUUUUAUGUGGAUUAAUUAAUUAAUUAAUUUUUUUUGUAAUUAUGAUUAAAUUAGUAUUUAUUUUAAAUAACUUACAGUAACUUGGCAAUUUUGAUUUCCGCCUGUUUAACAGAAACAUGGUCUUUUGAAUAUUUAUAUAAGAUCUAGCCUGCCCAAUGAUUAACUUGAAUGGCCGCAGUAUUUUAACUGUGCUAAGGUAGCAUAAUCAUUUGUCUUUUAAUUGAGGGCUUGAAUGAAUGGUUGGACGAGAUAUCUUCUUUCUUUAAGUUAGUGAAUGAAUUUAAUUUUUUAGUUAAAAAGCUAAAAUUAUUUAGUGGGACGAGAAGACCCUAUAGAUCUUUACUAUGAUUAGGAUUGAUUAGUUUAGUAGUUUAAUUAAUUAAAUUUUAUUUUUAGUUUAAUUGGGGUGAUUGCAGAAUUUUUUUAACUUCUGUUUUUAAAUUUCAUUGAUGUAUGAUUUUUUGAUCCAAUAAUAUUGAUUAUAAGAUUAAGUUACCUUAGGGAUAACAGCGUAAUUUCUUUGGAUAGUUCAUAUUGAUAAAGAAGAUUGCGACCUCGAUGUUGGAUUAAAAUAAGUGGUAAGUGCAGCAGCUUACUUACUAGGUCUGUUCGACCUUUAAUUUUUUACAUGAUCUGAGUUCAGACCGGCGUGAGCCAGGUCAGUUUCUAUCUUUUAUUAUAAAUUAUGUUUUAGUACGAAAGGACCAAACAUAUAGAGUAUCUCUUUAUUUUUUGAUUAAUAUU
rnacentral:rRNA from 1 species